UGCGACUGCCGAAACAUCUGCAUCAUUUGCUGUAGCUGUAGCGGAAGCUCAUCGUACUUUAUGUUCUGCUCUACUGUCAUCGCUGCUGCCUCUGGCUCCCUUGCUGCUACUACUGCCUCCCUCGCUGCUGUCACUGCCUCCUUCUCUGCUGCCUUCGUUCGCUCUAAGUUGUUGCUGGAGUUCUUCAUAUUUUCUUUGAACCUUGGCAAUUUGCUCAACUGUGCUCGCUUGCAUCUGAGCUAUCUGGUCUCUUAACCUUUGAACAUCAGCUUGAGCUUGACUCUCAGAAGGCAUGUAUUGCUGGGAGCUGGAUCCAAAAUAUUGGGUCGGGAUG
rnacentral:lncRNA from 1 species